CCUCUGCCCCCCCCCCGCGCCCUCCUGGCGACCACGUGAGCACCGCGCGCGGGGGAAGGCCCGCCCCUUCCUUUCGCCCUUCACGUGAUCGAGGCUCCGCCUCCCGCCCGGCGCGCGCUCGGCGGCGGCUGGGCACAGGUAGGCACGCUGUGGACAUGGAGAAAUCCAGGACAAAGGAUAGCUGCACCACGGGAGAAGGUCAAGAAGCGUAUGGUGCGGACUAAUGAAGAACGUUGAGGGGGUAAACUGAACAAUGAUGGAUGGCAAAAAUGGAUAGUCAAUAAAGUUUGACUCCCUCAGUCAGGAGAAAAUAAAAGUAAAAAGCUUUUUCCCUUUAA